UACGUAGGGGGCGAGCGUUGUCCGGAUUUAUUGGGCGUAAAGAGCUCGUAGGCGGUUUGGUAAGUCGGGUGUGAAAUCUCCACGCUCAACGUGGAGGGGCCACUCGAUACUGCCAUGACUCGAGUCCGGUAGAGGAGUGUGGAAUUCCCGGUGUAGCGGUGAAAUGCGCAGAUAUCAGGAGGAACACCGGUGGCGAAGGCGGGACUCUGGGCCGAUACUGACGCUGAGGUGCGAAAGCGUGGGGAGCAAACAGG
rnacentral:rRNA from 1 species